rnacentral:rRNA from 1 species
GAGUUUGAUUCUGGCUCAGGAUGAACGCUGGCGGCGUGCCUAACACAUGCAAGUCGAACGAAGCAUAUAGAAGGAAGUUUUCGGAUGGAAUUUUAUAUGACUUAGUGGCGGACGGGUGAGUAACGCGUGGAUAAUCUGCCUUACACAGCGGGAUAACAAAUGGAAACAGUUGCUAAUACCGCAUAAGCACACAGUAUCGCAUGAUACAGGGUGAAAAGAUUUAUCGGUGUAAGAUGAGUCCGCGUCCCAUUAGCUAGUUGGUGAGGUAAAAGCUUACCAAGGCGACGAUGGGUAGCCGGCCUGAGAGGGUGAACGGCCACAUUGGGACUGAGACACGGCCCAGACUCCUACGGGAGGCAGCAGUGGGGGAUAUUGCACAAUGGGCGAAAGCCUGAUGCAGCGACGCCGCGUGAAGGAAGAAGUAUUUCGGUAUGUAAACUUCUAUCAGCAGGGAAGAAAAUGACG